GACGAACGCUGGCGGCGUGCUUAACACAUGCAAGUCGAACGGAAAGGCCCUGCUUUUGUGGGGUGCUCGAGUGGCGAACGGGUGAGUAACACGUGAGUAACCUGCCCUUGACUUUGGGAUAACUUCAGGAAACUGGGGCUAAUACCGGAUAGGAGCCCCUGCUGCAUGGUGGGCGUUGGAAAUUUUCGGCUGUUGGGGAUGGACUCGCGGCUUAUCAGCUUGUUGGUGGGGUAGUGGCUUACCAAGGCUGUGAAGGGUCGCCGGCAUGAGAGGGUGGACGGCCACAUUGGGCCUGAGAGAGGGACCAGACUCCUACGUGAGGCAGCAGUGGGGAAUAUUGCACAAUGGGAGGAAGCCUGAUGCAGAAACGCCGGGUGCGGGAUGACGGCCUGCGGGUUGUAAACAGCUUUCGCUUGUGACGAAGCGUGAGUGACGGUAAUGGGUGAAGAAGCACCGGCUAACUACGUG
rnacentral:rRNA from 1 species